rnacentral:lncRNA from 10 species
GUUUUCUUCUCGAUCGUCUACCCUCAUUCCCACGAUCCACUCAGAUGCUCCUCCUAGACAGCAGUUGUCUGAUAUUUCUCCUUUUGUGGUUGUUUUAGGGAAAAACUUAAAAUGGAUAUGAAAAGUGAAGAAAGUGAUCAUAGGAGAAAACCAUUUCAGGUGUCUGAUGAUUUGUGAGCCUCAAGUGACUACUCUGUGGAAUCAUCUGUCCUUGCCUUUGAAUUAGCUUUCCCUAGGCCAUGAGUCAACAUUAGUAGUUUAUACAUCCAAAUUGAUGACAAGAGCACCUCAAAGGCAGCAGCCUCAAGGAGCAGCCAUGGCCCCAGACUUGUCGCACGGAUGCAGAAAACUUAAUGGAGGAGGCUGAGGUCAGAAUGGGAAGAGUUUUUAAAAAAUAAAAAGGGGAGCUAAUAUGUGAGGAACUGAUUGCUGUGCAUUAUUUUCCACUGAACAGACCUUCUUUUAACUUCUAAUCUCAAGCACAUAGCAGCUGUUGUUUUCAUAUUAAAGAUCAGUAAGUGUUUGUUGAA